rnacentral:rRNA from 1 species
GAUGAACGCUGGCGGCGUGCCUAAUACAUGCAAGUAGAACGCUGAAGGAGGAGCUUGCUCUUCUGGAUGAGUUGCGAACGGGUGAGUAACGCGUAGGUAACCUGCCUGGUAGCGGGGGAUAACUAUUGGAAACGGUAGCUAAUACCGCAUGACAACAGUUGUUGCAUGAUAACCGUUGAAAAGGAGCAACUGCUACACUACCAGAUGGACCUGGGUUGUAUUAGCUAGUUGGUGGGGUAAAGGCUCACCACGGCGACGAUACAUAGCCGACCUGAGAGGGGGAUCGGCCACCCUGGAACUGAGACACGGCCCAGACUCCUACGGGAGGCAGCAGUGGGGAAUAUUGGGCAAUGGACGAAAGUCUGACCGAGCAACGCCGCGUGGGUGAAGAAGGUUUUCGGAUCGUAAAGCUCUUUUGAAGAGAAGAACGAGUGUGAGAGUGGAAAGUUCACACUGUGACGGUAUCUUACCAGAAAGGGACGGCUAACUACGUG